rnacentral:rRNA from 1 species
UACGUAGGGUGCGAGCGUUGUCCGGAAUUAUUGGGCGUAAAGGGCUCGUAGGCGGUCUGUUGCGUCGGGAGUGAAAACUCAGGGCUUAACCCUGAGCCUGCUUCCGAUACGGGCAGACUAGAGGUAUGCAGGGGAGAACGGAAUUCCUGGUGUAGCGGUGAAAUGCGCAGAUAUCAGGAGGAACACCGGUGGCGAAGGCGGCAUACUGGUCCACUUCUGACGCUGAGGCGCGAAAGCCAGGGGAGCAAACGGG